rnacentral:rRNA from 1 species
CACGUAGGCACCAAGCGUUGUCCGGAUUUAUUGGGCGUAAAGAGCGUGUAGGCGGCUAGAUAGGUCCGUUGUGAAAACUCGAGGCUCAACCUCGAGACGUCGAUGGAAACCAUCUGGCUAGAGUCCGGAAGAGGAGAGUGGAAUUCCUGGUGUAGCGGUGAAAUUCGUAGAUAUCGGGAGGAACACCAGUGGCGAAGGCGGCGACCUGGGCCAAGAUUGACGCUGAGGUGCGAAAGCGUGGGGAGCAAACAGG